rnacentral:rRNA from 1 species
CCUACGGGUGGCUGCAGUGGGGAAUAUUGGGCAAUGGACGCAAGUCUGACCCAGCAACGCCGCGUGAAGGAAGAAGGCGUUCGGGUGGUAAACUUCUGGUAAGGGGGAAGAGCAGAAGACGGGACCGCUAGAAUAAGCCACGGCUAACUACGUGCCAGCAGCCGCGGUAAUACGUAGGUGGCAAGCGUUGUCCGGCUUUACUGGGUGUAAAGGGCGUGCAGCCGGCGAGACAAGUCAGAUGUGAAAUCCACGGGCGCAACCCGUGAACGGCAUUUGAAACUGUUUCCCUUGAGUGUCGGAGCGGUCAUCGGACUUCCUCGUGUCGCGGUGAACUGCGUAUAUCUUAGG